rnacentral:rRNA from 1 species
GAUGAACGCUGGCGGCGUGCCUAACACAUGCAAGUCGAACGAACGGACAGGAAGCUUGUUCUCUUGAUGUUGGCGGCGGGCGGGUGAGUAACGCGUGCAUCACCUACCUCUCUGACUGGGAUAACCUCGGAAAACCAGUUCUAAUACUAGCUCAUACGAUCAACCGGAUGUAUCAGUAGUGAAUCAUGGCCUUCCUGUCUGAUCUAGCCGGAUCCGGUCUGGCUUAGCUAGUAGGUAAGGUAACGGCCUACCAAGGCAACGAUGCAUAGCCGACCUGAGAGGGUGAUCGGCCACACUGGAACUGAGACACGGUCCAGACGCCUACGGGAGGCAGCAGUAGGGAAUAUUGGGCAAUGGGCGAAAGCCUGACGCAGCAAGGCCGCGUGAGUGAUGAAGGCCUUCGGAUCGUAAAGCCCUGUUAUUGGGGAAGAACAUCUGUGUGAGAAGACGUGGCGAUCUUGACGGUACCUAAAGAAAAAGCACCGGCUAACUACGUG